UACAGAGGAGCCAAGCGUUGUCCGGAUUGACUGGGCGUAAAGCGCACGCAGGCGGCCUAGUGCGUGGGGUGUGAAAUCUGGCCGCUUAACGGCCAGGCGCCAUCCCAUACGGCUAAGCUGGAGGGCUGCAGAGGUCGAUGGAAUUGCCGGUGUAGCGGUGAAAUGCGCAGAUAUCAGGAGGAACACCGGUGGCGAAGGCGACGUCCUGGACCGGCAUUGACACUGAGGCGCGAAAGCCAGGGGAGCAAACGGG
rnacentral:rRNA from 1 species